rnacentral:lncRNA from 1 species
GGUAUUUCCGGGUGGAGACUGUGCCCUGGCAGAGAGGGGUGGUCCUGCCUCGCUGGCCCCUGCGAUCUAGGAAUUUCCAAACUGAAGUAAUGACAUGUGGGGGGAGGUGGUGUCAGAGACCAGCAGGUGAGUCCGGAGAGAAGGCCCCGGGCCUCCAGGAGUCACGCCUCCUGGUUAACUGAUUGACUACUGCCUAGUCCCCUGCGACAUCAGGACCGCCAUCCCCUCAAAGGGAUAAACUGAGGCUCGGCAUUUCGCAGGGAUCCGAAAUCAAGUCCUGAUUUCCCCAACUACUGCAAGCCUCUUUAACCCACCAGACAUGCCCUUGCCGGGGAUAAGGGCUCCCUGGAAUCGUUAGGGGACGCCAUCCAUUCAGAGGUGCCCCUCUCCCCAGGACCAUGCUCCACCCACUUGGCACUAGAGAUGAAGCAGCGAUCCAAGCAGGCCCGGACAGAUCCGCUGUGAGAAAGUCCUGCCUGAGAGGCAGUCCUCACUUCCCUUCUCCCACUCACGACUGCUCCCGCCCCCGCGGCCUCGGUUCCCCUUUUCUGCUUUGACUUCUGGGGCGUCUUGACAGCUCCCCCAAAAGGAAGGAAGAUGUCUGGUCCUGGGAGCCCUGCACCUCCCUUUCUUAGACUGGAUGAGAAACAGAACUCCGAAGAGGAGAGGCACCUCUCAGAAAGCAGAGAUCCCCCACUCCCCAGCGCGCCUUAUGGGGGGGUUUCCUCUCCUUCUCACUCCUUUCCCCCACUUCCUCCAUCCUCUGGCCCCGCCCCGUGCUAGUUUCUCCCCUUCCCCCUCUCAUCUCUCCCCCUGCUGUCUCUUCUUGAGGUCAGGUGUCAAGUAGCUCAGGGUGACCUCAAACGCCCUGUAGUUGAGGAUGACCUUGAACUCCCGAUCCUGCCUCGUGCUCCACUGCUCUUGCUUUUCGCAGUGAAACUGAGGCAGACCUUGAACAAUGAGAUUGGACAAAGAGAGAUAUCAAACCCUAGUCUUCCAAGACCCAGUGGCUUGCUUACUGGCCUUUGGACGCCCGAGGCUUCCUGUUUUAAGACGCCUAUACAGUUGCUGUGGAGACCAGCCCUGGGCCAGGAGGUCGUGCUGCAGAUGCGGAAGGGAGAGGUCGAGAUGCACGUGUGCUCUUCCUCCAGAGCCCACAGCUCCCAGGCCACUCCACACCCAAGCCUGAAGCCUGGUUAUUCCUAAGGAAUUUCCACGGGGAUGUUUUGAUUGGGGGGGGGGGGUGUCUGGGGAGCGGGCACUCAAUCUCUACCCCAGGACAACUAUGAUGGAGUUUCAGAGUGACCUCAAGGGAAUCUGGGAAAUCCCUCAGAGUGGAUUUUUCUAGUGGUGUCACUGAGAGUCUUUGGUCCUCAUUUCACCUGUUUGAGACUCCAUUGCCCUAAGGUCCCAUAUGCAGUCUUUAGUUUGACUGUUUAAAGCGGCACCUUCUGUGUUGAGCGCACCAAUCGGUCCAAGAGCUGAAUAUUGGAAAAUCCUGCUUUGAUCCUCAGUGGAGCAUCAAUGAGCAGAACAUAACUCCUUCAACAGAGAAGCCAGCAGCAUACAGCAGCAGCCUGGAAGUGUACUGAAGAGUACACUGGAACAAGACCAGAGACUGACUGGAUGAGUUUAAGGUCAGUUCCACAAGACAUGAUUUCUUCAAGAACCAUAAACUGGGGGCUGGAGAGAUGGAUGGGUCAGCAGUUCAGAGCAAGUGCUCUUGCAGAGAACACAGGUUCAAUUCCCAUCACCCUCAUGGCAGCUCACAACCAUCUGUAACUCCAGCUCUAGCGAUCUGAUGUUUUCUUCUGGACACACACACAGUCUUAUGGCUGGAGAGGUGGCUCAGUGGUUGAGUGUAUAUCCUGCUAUUGCAGAGGACUGAAAUUAAGUUCCCAGCACCCAUGCCAAGCAGCCAGCAUGCAUGUAGUACACACACACACACACACACACACACACACACACACACACACACACACAAGCACACUAAGUGUUAAGUGUAUAAAAUACACAUAUAAAAUAAAAUUAAUCUAACACAGUAAUUAAAAAAAAUUAAUCU